UAGGGAAUCUUGCGCAAUGGGCGAAAGCCUGACGCAGCCAUGCCGCGUGAAUGAUGAAGGUCUUAGGAUUGUAAAAUUCUUUCACCGGGGAAGAUAAUGACGGUACCCGGAGAAGAAGCCCCGGCUAACUUCGUGCCAGCAGCCGCGGUAAUACGAAGGGGGCUAGCGUUGCUCGGAAUUACUGGGCGUAAAGGGCGCGUAGGCGGAUGUUUAAGUCGGGGGUGAAAGCCCGGGGCUCAACCUCGGAAUUGCCUUCGAUACUGGACAUCUUGAGUACGGGAGAGGUGAGUGGAACUCCGAGUGUAGAGGUGAAAUUCGUAGAUAUUCGGAAGAACACCAGUGGCGAAGGCGACUCACUGGCCCGUUACUGACGCUGAGGCGCGAAAGCGUGGGGAGCAAACA
rnacentral:rRNA from 1 species